rnacentral:rRNA from 1 species
AUUGAACGCUGGCGGCAGGCCUACCACAUGCAAGUCGAGCGGAGCGGCGGACGGGUGAGUACUGCCUAGGAAUCUGCCUGGUCGUUGGGGAUAACGUCCGGAAACGGGCGCUAAUACCGCAUACUAUCAGAUGAACCUAUGUCGGAUUAGCUAGUUGGUGGGGUAAAGGCCUACCAAGGCGACGAUCCGUAGCUGGUCUGAGAGGAUGAUCAGUCACACUGGAACUGAGACACGGUCCAGACUCCUACGGUAGGCAGCAGUGGGGAAUAUUGGACAAUGGGCGAAAGCCUGAUCCAGCCAUGCCGCGUGUGUGAAGAAGGUCGUCGGAUUGUAAAGCACUUUAAGUUGGGAGGCGUUACCAACAGAAUAAGCACCGGCUAACUUCGUGACAGCCGCCGCGGUAAUAC